GCACACAUGGUAGAAGACCACCAACGCCUUCAAGCUCUGCUCUGGCUUCCAUGUGCAUGGUGGUAUGCUUGCCCCACACCCUCUCAUACACACACAGACAAAAUAGAACUGAAAACAUUUUAAAGCUUAGAGAUUCAGAGUGCCAGUGUACUGUGUGCAUCUCUGAACAGUAUUUGCAGUCAUGACAUGGAAUCUGAAUGUUGAAUACAGCAAGAAGUCUGGGAGCUCAGGCCACAAGGACCUGCAGGGGGCAGAGGAGCAUGCUAUGUUAAGUGACAACCUAGGGAAGCACUGCCUAAGAACUGGAGAAGGCUGGACACUCCUUCCUGAAAAGACAUUUCAUC
rnacentral:lncRNA from 1 species